GACUACCAUGGGCGAUUGANNNNNNNNNNNNNNNNNNNNNNNUACCUGGUUGAUUCUGCCAGUAGUCAUAUCGCUUGUCGCAAAGAUUAAGCCAUGCAUGUCUAAGUAUAAGCAACUUUGUACUGUGAAACUGCGAAUGGCUCAUUAAAUCAGUUAUAGUUUAUUUGAUGGUUUUUGCUACAUGGAUAACUGUGGUACUUCUAGAGCUAAUACAUGCAUUCAAGCCCCGACUUCUGGAAGGGGUGUAUUUAUUAGAUCAAACUCCACCUCGAUGGAGAAUCAUAAUAAUUUCUCGGACCUCCUGGCCUCAAAGUAGCCGUGGUUCCCUCCAAUAUCUGGCCUAUGCGCUGCCGAUGAUCAAAUGGAGGCCUACCAUGGUUGUUGCCGUCCAACUUCCCAUGAAUGGACCGCUACCGUACCACUAGACUGCAAAAACGCUCUACCACAUCUGAUGGACUCUUUAGGAGGUCAAAGUCUCGUUCCCCUUCGCAAUUAACCAGAGAAAUCACUCCACCAACUACUAACGGACAUGCCCCACCACCCGUAUAAUCACAAAAGAGCUAUCUUUCUGACCAACCUUCCCAUGUCUGGACCUGGUACCAUCCCCCGCGUUGAAUCCAAUCUAGCCGCAGGAUCCUAUCCUGGUGGCGCCCAUCCGCGCUUUUCUUUAUAUUUUAGCCUUGGGACCGUACUCCCCCCCCAACCCAAAAACUUUGUUUACUUCGUAUGUGCCCAUGGAGGCCUGAAGAAUACAACCGACCGACACACAGUCCGCUUAAUUUACUUGAAAAUACAAGAUCGAUAUCCAGUCUCUUUCCAAAACCUUUCCCACCCUUCUUUUAAUAAAAAAAAAAACCCCUGGGAAAUGCUUUCCCAGAUAUUGCUCUUCCCAAAUUCCACAAAAUUACCCCUCCCCUAUGGAAUUACAAAGGCCCCCCACUAUUCCUAAUACUCUUUUUGGCGAUCCCGAAAAGCAACAUAUAAAACCCUCCGCCCAAUUAAUAACCCCAUGCUUAUAUUUCCCGGCUUAAGGCUUGUUUGAACCUACUAAUUUUUUUAUCUUCAGGGUCCGGGUCCUGGUUUGGCCAAACCCCUAUUCUCAAAGAAAAAACCAUCUCCAAAUCACACGCCUUCGAGGCAAACCUCCCUCCUGGUCCCAAGUAACCAUCACAAUUUUAAAGCCUCAAAUUAUAAUUCUUUUUGGGCCGUGAUUAAGCGCUCUUUGACCCAUCUUCUUCUCCUUUUCUCCUUUG
rnacentral:rRNA from 1 species